UUGGUUGACAAGGUUUUGGACAAAACUGGUAUGAAGGGUACAGGUAAAUGGACCGUACAGCAAGCUGCUGAUCUAUCAGUUGCAGCUCCUACAAUUGCAUCUUCUUUGGAUGCAAGAUUCCUCAGUGGUUUGAAGGAGGAGCGAGUUGAAGCUGCUAAAGUCUUCAAAGCAGGUGGCUUUGGAGAAAUUUUGACUGACCAAGUGGUGGACAAGAAGAAGUUGAUUGAUGAUGUGAGACAAGCUCUCUAUGCAUCCAAGAUUUGUAGUU
rnacentral:misc_RNA from 1 species